UGGGGAAUAUUGCACAAUGGGCGCAAGCCUGAUGCAGCCAUGCCGCGUGUGUGAAGAAGGCCUUCGGGUUGUAAAGCACUUUCAGCGGGGAGGAAGGCGAUAAGGUUAAUAACCUUGUCGAUUGACGUUACCCGCAGAAGAAGCACCGGCUAACUCCGUGCCAGCAGCCGCGGUAAUACGGAGGGUGCAAGCGUUAAUCGGAAUUACUGGGCGUAAAGCGCACGCAGGCGGUCUGUCAAGUCGGAUGUGAAAUCCCCGGGCUUAACCUGGGAACUGCAUUCGAAACUGGCAGGCUAGAGUCUCGUAGAGGGGGGUAGAAUUCCAGGUGUAGCGGUGAAAUGCGUAGAGAUCUGGAGGAAUACCGGUGGCGAAGGCGGCCCCCUGGACGAAGACUGACGCUCAGGUGCGAAAGCGUGGGGAGCAAACAGG
rnacentral:rRNA from 1 species